UCAAAUUUUUUCAAAAAGCCCAUCAACUUUAAUUUCUGGUGGUGCAGAAAUUAGAAGUCUCAGAUGAGGGUGUUCAAAUUUGCAGACGAGCCAAUUUAGAAAACGUUAAACUAGAAGGAAAUUGGUUUAAAACCACAUCAAAAAAAUUAAAAGGACUUAAGUAAUUCUAAAAACUAAGGCAGAAUGCUUUUGGAAGACUUGAACUUAAAAAGGCUUUAGAUCCAGUAGUUUAGUUUGCUUUGAAAAAUAUAAAGGACUUUGAUUACUCAAGUAUUUCAAGAUCAAGAAUAAUGUGUUUGCAUUGGACUUUGAGCUAAGAUGAUUUGUAAAAUUGAGGACUAGCGUUAAUUGGCAGCUGACCCAGGUGCUACACAGAAGUGGAUGCAGUGAACCUAGGAAGACAGGAUUCCAGGAGCCAGAGUUUGAUGAAGCUAGGACUGAGGAGCAAGCAGCAGUUCGUGGUGAAGAUAGGAAGGAGUCCAGGAACCGGUGCUGUUUGGUGAAGGAAGCUAGGAAGAAGGAAGGAGCCCUAACGAUUGUGGUGAAGCUAGGAAGGCAUUCCAGGAAGGAGCAGCCAGUGGGAUUUGGUGCUGAAGCUAGCUGGCGUCUUUGGCUUGUCAACUACUGCGGAGGAGGCGAGCAUGCAUUGUGGAGAAUAGCUAGCCGACCCUAGACCAGCAUGGCAGUGUGCGAGGCUUCGGGGAGAGCGAGUGGUGUGGUAAAAGUCCGGGCAGUUGGCGAUGUCGUUUAUUUUGUAACUUGAGCGUGGUAACUUUAUUUACUUGUUUCCUAAUGAUAAUGGGGGAGUUGUACCUCUGGAGAGGGAUUUUCUUGGGGGUGUGUGUAUGCAUAUAGGCCGAUUUCCGGGUGUUAUAGGUUUUUCUUUUUCAGGCUUAUGUUCUCAUCUUUGUCUGAAGCUUUUGAGGGCAGACUGCCAAGGCCUCCAGAAAUGGUAGAUGGCAAGUUUGUUUUUUUCACCAGUGUGAAGGAAAAGUGAAUUUUACAGAAAAUACAACUUAUGCAAAUUUUCAAGCAGCUUGUGUUUUUAGUUGGCAAUGAAGUAUUUGGUGAAUAGAUGACUCAUUUUCCUUUUCCUCACCCUGAAUUAGUUUUGUAAAUGAGUCUGGGUGUUAAUGGGGGGGGUAGUGUUUUUUUUGUGUGGUGGGGAUGGCAAAAUGCUUUUGAGUUUUUUUUCCCCUUAGGUCUUUCUAGACUCCUAAAGGCAAAUGACUCCAGGUAACAGAAAAAAAGAAAAUCCAGUAUCAGGAUAAUCAGAACACCACAGGUUUACAAUUUCUAGAAACUAGAUCCACGAAUAGCUCUCACUUUGGAGGAGCUGUCCUUUGGAGAAAUGGCUGGUAGUUAACUCUUUCUUUCCCCCCUUAAUCAGACUUCUAAAGUGUUUUAACCCCUUAAACUUAUUACUGAAAGUAUUUGGGGAUGGUCUUUAACAGGGAAGAGAGGGGGUGGGGGAGCAAAUGUUUUUUUUCUAAGAUUUUCCACAGAUGCUAUAGUACUAUUGGCAAACUGGUUAGAGAAGGCAUGUACUGCUAUGCUGUUGGCACGAACACCUUCAGGGAUUGGAGCAGCUUUUAUCCUUGGAAGAGUUUUCCCAAUUGAAGCUGAAAAGUACAGCACAGUGCAGCUUUGGUUCAUAAUCAGUCAACUCAGGAGAACUUCAGAAGCGCUUGACUAGGCCAAAUGUUGAAGUUAAGUUUCCAAAGUAAUUUAAAAUACUCAUUAAAGGGGAGGGGAAAUUUUUGGCAAUUAGUUGGCAGUGGUCUAUUGUGGUUGGGGUGGGGGGGUUAGGUAAUUGUUUAGUUUAUGAUUUCAGAUAAUUCAUGCCAGAGAACUUAAAUACUUAGGAUGGAAAACUAAAGAACUCUACUUCCAAGUUGGCAAGUAACUCCCAAUCAUUUAGUUUUUUUUCCACCAAUUUUGGAAUUGGGCAUCCUGGGAAGAUUUCAUUGGGUGUACCAGUGCAUUAUUAAUUUCAGCAAGGAUAGUAAAUCAUGGUAUGGUAUCUGUUCCCCUGUGUAGGUCUUGGGGAAGGAUAAGUGUUGGAUUGGGGGUUGGUCUGGCUUAUUGUAAUGACAUCGAAUAGCAACAGUCUUGGGGAAUUUUUAAAGCUUAAUUUUGGAUAUAGAUGGUAGUGUGUGGUUCUCUUUUGGAAUUUUUUUCAGGUGAUUUAAUGUAACUUAAUACUACUAUAGGAACUUCAGAGCAAAGGAAGUGGCUUAAUGAUCCUGAAGGGAUUUCUUCUGAUGGUAGCUUUUAUAUUAUCAAGUAAGAUCCUGUUUUCAGUUGUGAGCAAGUUUUUCUAGUGUAGGAAAAAUUUUUCCUUUGGCAAAACAAGAUGUAAAGACUUUUUUCAGAUAACAUCCACUGAGUCAUAACAAGCCUGGCAGUAUGAUGGCCUAGAUGCAGAGGGAACAGCUCGUUGGUGAAUGAUAAGUAAAGGCAGAAAAGAUUAUGUCAUACCUCCAUUGGGGAAUAAGCAUAACCCUGAGAUCUUACUACUGAUGAAAAUAUUGUCUGCAUAUAAAAAAGAGAAAGCUACCAAUUUAAAGUUUUAUGGAAUCCACCAUUUUAAAAUUAUGGCUUAUUGAGCUAUAUUCACAAAAGAAUUGAUGAGAAACAUGAAGAUCAAAUGUCCAUCUCGAAACACUGCUUUUACAAAAGCAGAAUAAAAUGGAAAGAAAUGAAAAUGAUUAUACUACCUUGUUCCUGAAGUAAAAGAAGCUUGAAAUAAUUGAGUUGGGAUCAAGUGGAUGUGAAAGGAGGCUGUGCUGUGUGCCAAUCUUUCGUUUGCCUCAGACAGGUUUCUCUUCCGUUAUCAGAAGAGUUGCUUCAUUUCAUCUGGGAGCAGAAAACAGCAGGCAGCUGUUCACAGAUAAGUUUAACUUGCAUCUGCAGUAUUGCAUGGUUAGGGAUAAGUGCUUAUUUAUAAGGUGUUGAACCGGGGGCACUCUUUCCUGACCCCUUCCUUAGGGGGAUUUCAGGAUUGUGAGACAUUUUCCCAUCUAGCCUUUUUAAAUUAUGCCUUGUGCCUGUGGGCUUCCAUGAUGGGAUGGUACACCUCAGAGGCAUUUGCACCAUAAUUCCUUAAAAGCCUCUUAAGUGACUAGUGCCUUAGUCAUAAUGCUUAACAAAACAAAGGAAAUAUUUUUAACAUUGAAUCUAUAAAACCCUAAAAGGGAUAGCAUAAUAUACUGUGAAGAGUCAAGCUAUGUUAAUUUUGAUAAAAUUUCCAUGUUACCUUACAAUGUAUAUCGUGCCUAAAACCAUUAAAUCGUAUAAAUUAAUAAAAUAUUUUAUUAGAGAAUGUAUGCUUUUAGAAAGCUGUCUCCUUAUUUAAAUAAAAUAUUGUUUGUCUGUAGUUAGUGUUGGGGCAAUCUUGGGGGGUAUUCUUCUCUAAUCUUUCAGAAACUUGUCUUCGAACACUUUAAUGGACAAGAUCAGAAUUGAGCGGAAGACCGAAUUUUAACUUUAAGGCAGGAAAGACCAAUUUUAUUCUUCAUAAAAUGAUGAGCAUUUAAUUAAUAAUUCCAGGCACAUGACAAUAGAGACCCUUAAAUAAGGAAUAAAUACCUUUUAGACAGGUGGGAGAUACAGAUCAGAAUAAAAGGUAACUACACAUUUUGUUUCCAGAUAGCCAGGGGUCUAAGUUGACGGUGAUUGAACUAGAAUAAGAUAAUUUUUCCACAUUUCCAUAGUUUGCAUGUUAACUUUAAAUGCUUAUAAUCUCAUCAAUUGUUGGCCAAUGUUUUACACAAUUCAGCUAGGAGUUGGGGGCAUGUGGGUUUUUUAAGAAUUUUCCUUUGCAGAGGCUUCAUUUCAUCCUUCAUGAAGCUGUUCAGGAUUUUGACUUGCAUAUGAGUGCUUGGCUCUGCCUUCUGCUAGUGAGUGUGAGACCUUGCAGUGAGUGUAUCAGAAUACUCGAAUUUUCCUGGAAUUUGGAGGGAAGGGAGGAGGGGAUGGGGCUUACUUGUUUUAGCUUCUUUUUUUACAGACUACACAGAGAAAAUGCAGUUGUCUUGACCUCAGGUCUGUCUAUUCUUUUGGCAAGUAAUAAUGCAGUACUGUUCUGAUCUGCUGCUAUUAGAAUGCAUUGUGAAACGACUGGAGUAUGAUUAAAAAGUUGUGUUUCCCCAAUGCUUGGAGUAGUGAUUGUUGAAGGAAAAUCCAUGAGUGAUAAAGGCUGAGUGUUGAGGAAAUUUCUGCAGCUUUAAGUAAUCCAUGUUUGUGAUUGAAGCCAAGUACCUUUUGCUGUGCUGCUUUAGGUAAAAUGCUUUUUGUUCUUUCUGGUAGGGGGGUGGGGGGACACUGAAGCCUUUAGUCUUUUUCAGAUUCCACCUUAAAAUCAGUGACAAGAAUAAAUUCAAACAAGCAACUCUUCAAGAAAUUUAACUGGCAAGUGGAAAUGUUUUGAACAGUUCAGUAGUCGUCAGUGCAUUGUCUUUGUGUGGGUUUCUCUCCCCUUCCCUUGGUCUUAAUUCUUACAUACAGGAACAUUGAGAACAGCAGACAUACGUAUGCGAAGGGCCAGAGAAGCCAGACUCAGUAAGGAAAAAAUAGCCUAUUUACUUUAAAUAAACAAAUCAAAUAUUUCAUUUUAAAUGUGGGAAUUGGGAACUACUAGUCUUUCAGAUGGUAUUCUUCAGACUAUAAAAGGAACUUCCAGUUGAUUUCACCAGUGGACAAAUUGAGGACAACAGGUGAACAAGCCUUUUCUAUUUUUACAAAGAUCAGUUAUGGGUAAAUGACUCAGUGUUGAACAGACUUCAGCUUUAUGCUGGAGUCAGUAGCAUGUGAUCAAGUUGUGUGUCGGCCUUGGGGGUGGAGGGGUGAGGUGGGCGCUAAGCCUUUUUUUAAGAUUUUUCAGGUACCCCUCACUAAGGCAUCGAAGGCUUAAAGUAGGACAACUGGAGCCUUCCUGUGGCAAGAGACAACAAAGCGCUAUUAUACUAAGGUCAAUCAGAGUGGUUUCGGCCUCAACCUAAUUUUUAUUAGCAAUGAGGACUUGCCUCAACACCUUUUGGUGUGCAUACGAAUGCUCCUGGGCUUACCUUAAUAUUUGAAUAGCUGUUUUUAUAGCAGCUUAUGAAAAAGCCCAGAUCUCAAGCGGUGUUUGAGGGGAGGGAAAGGGGGAAAGCGGGCAACCAGUUUUCCCUAGCUUUUCCAGAACCUGUUUAAAGCAAGGUCUCCCCACAAGUGACUUCUCUGCCACAUCGCCACCCCCUGCCUUUGGCCUAGCACAGACCCUUCACCCCUCACCUCGAUGCAGCCAGUAGCUUGGAUCCUUGUGGGCAUGCUGCAUAAUCGGUUUCAAGGUAACCAUGGUGCUGAGGUCUGGUGGGUUGCACUACUUUAGAAGAGGCCAUUAAUCUAUAAAUUUUUAACAGAAUAUUAAAACCACAAAAAUAGCUGUCUUUUAUGUAUAUACACUUAUCCAGUGACUAAAACCAACUUAAACCAGUACAUAGAGAAAUGUCAAGAAUGUAAUAUUGGGUGGGAACAUGACUUGUUAGCUGAAGAAGAUAGACUUUAGCAGUGGAGAGGACUGCUGGGUGGGAUUGCAAAAAUUCUCUGCUAAGACUUUUUCAGGUGAAUAUAACAGACUUGGCCAAGCUAGCAUCUUAGCUGAAGCAGAUUCUCCAGUGCUCUUCAGUAGGGUUGUAAAAGGUUUUUCUUUUCCUGAGAAAACAAAUUUUUGUUUUCUCAGGUUUUGCUUUUUGGCCUUUCCCUAGCUUAAAAAAAAAAAAAGCAAAAGAUGCUGGUGGUUGGCACUCCUGGCUUCCAGGACGGGGUUCAAAUCCCUGCAGCGUCUUUGCUUGAUUCUUAAUAUCUGUCUUUAGGAGGUGCUGUCUCAGAAGGUGGGAAUGCCUCAGAACUAUACACAGCUCUUUUUUUUUUUUUUUAACAUUUUUUAGUUGUAGAUGGACAUAAUACCUUUAUGCCUCAUGCAUGCUAGGCAAGCACUGUACCACUGAGCCACAACCCCAACCCUAUACAUAGCUUUGUUUGAAGUGGGUUGUAGAUUGUUUUCAUGUGAGUAUCUGAUAACUGUUGUCUUUUUCAGGUAAUCCUGCAUCUAGUGCUUGGAUAAGCCCCAUUUUGUGAAAUAAAAAAAUUGAAAAGCUCUA